AUACCCUGGUAGUCCACGCUGUAAACGAUGUCGAUUUGGAGUUUGUUGCCUAGAGUGAUGGGCUCUGAAGCUAACGCGAUAAAUCGACCGCCUGGGGAGUACGGCCGCAAGGUUAAAACUCAAAUGAAUUGACGGGGGCCCGCACAAGCGGUGGAGCAUGUGGUUUAAUUCGAUGCAACGCGAAGAACCUUACCUGGUCUUGACAUCCAUAGAAUUCUGCAGAGAUGUGGGAGUGCCUUCGGGAACUAUGAGACAGGUGCUGCAUGGCUGUCGUCAGCUCGUGUUGUGAAAUGUUGGGUUAAGUCCCGCAACGAGCGCAACCCUUAUUCUUUGUUGCCAGCGAUUUGGUCGGGAACUCAAAGGAGACUGCCGUUGAUAAAGCGGAGGAAGGUGGGGACGACGUCAAGUCAUCAUGGCCCUUACGACCAGGGCUACACACGUGCUACAAUGGCGUAUACAAAGGGAAGCGAAGGUGCGAGCUGGAGCGGAUCUCAUAAAGUACGUCUAAGUUCGGAUUGGAGUCUGCAACUCGACUCCAUGAAGUCGGAAUCGCUAGUAAUCGUAGAUCAGAAUGCUACGGUGAAUACGUUCCCGGGCCUUGUACACACCGCCCGUCACACCAUGGGAGUGGGUUGCACCAGAAGUAGAUAGCUUAACCGCGAGGGGGGCGUUUACCACGGUGUGAUUCAUGACUGGGGUGAAGUCGUAACAAGGUAACCA
rnacentral:rRNA from 1 species